AUCUCAUAUGAUUUUUUUUUUUAUGAAUUUUUUUUUAAAAGAGAUUGGAUGAAAUGUUCUUAAUUAGUUAAUAGAGAAAAAUACGAUGACUAAAUUAGCCAAAUUGAAAACACGAGGACAAAAUUAGUCAUAUACCUAUAAUACAGGGAUCAUUUUGACAUUUAAGCCUUGAUUCAAACCGAUCAAACGUAGACACCUCAUAUUACCCAUCACCUUUUAAAUUGUUUAUUCAACAAUUGAGUUUUGUAGAAUCGCUCAGACAUCCAAUAUUCCUUUUUUUUUUUUUUUUUCAAAGAUUACGUUUCAUUGAACAUACAUUCGGAAUUUGCGUGUGGUACGGUACAGUGGUAGGAUUGAACUGCACUUUGACCAAAGAAAAAGUCGAUUAACACGAAGAGACAUAGUUGAGGUCCAUGUCCUUGAGGAGCCAAAAGUGUACAAAAUACAAAGAUAAAAAGAAAAAUCGACCGACCUUCCUCCUCCUCCUCCUCCUCCUCUGCUCUGCAAGUCUCUGCCUUCUCUGAAGUAGCUAUGUUCUGAAUUUACACUCUUUUCCAAGCUUAAAAUUUCUUUAGCUUAUUAAUGUGCAAACAAAUGGGUAGCUCAAAAGUGUUCAAAUUUUCACUUCCCACGAACAAAAAAAGCACAAAAGAUUACUUCUUUUAGCUUAACAAUUAGCACCAUUGUAGGCCAUGGAUUCUUGCUUCGAUCUGACCAUUGGAUUUUUGGGUUUUUGUUUGGCAAGAGGUUUUGAGCAGGUUUGACUAAAACUUGAUUUCCAUAUAAAUGGAGGGGGGUGAUCAUGGAUGAGGAGCUUCAUCUUCUGCAAAACCAUCCCGUUUGUCCCCUUUAGCUGAACCCUUUUCGUCGAACCGCUCGAAUACACCCUUCCGGACACAGUCGUGGAAAUGCUGCUGUUAAGGGAUCGAAGCUCUCUAUGUUGACAAUUCUGAAAUUGUUCGAGGAGAGUGUGGCGAUUUGACAAUAGGAAGAGAAAAUCAAGCAGAUGCUGAAUUAUUCUCUUUUUUUUCAGGGGUUAAUUCAGGUACUUCAUCUACACCAAUGGUUGAAAAUUUUCUCAAACUCAGCUACCAUAUACUGCACUGGCAAUGACUUGGAGCGGUUGUAGUUACAAAUUUGCUUUUUGCGAGAGUGGCUUAACAAAAUUUGAUCCUUAAACAGCUAAAUCUCUGGCUUUCCAUUCACCUAAACAUAAUGCUUUUCCAGUUUCUCCCUUGAAUCCCGUAUUGUCAAAGAAUGUGGAUUUUAAAGGCAAUUGUUCUGUGAACGAUUAUGUGGAUCUUCAUCACCUGCUCUCUGGUGAAGGCAAAGGGAUUCACCGUGAUGAAAGUCCCAAUGAUAUAGGAAAUGAAGGCUGGCAAAGCUCUUUCUAGUGAGGGUAUAGGUCCAUUACUACUGGCAAAAUCUGAGCCACUAAUUAUUUUAACCAGUAUAUCUGAUGAUUUCAGCUCGAAACAUCUUGGCCUUAAAAGAGAUGUUUCUCUUGCGUGAAUGACUCUGACUUGGAUUCACCUUGUAGGAAAGGAACCUUGGCUUCUUGGCAAUCCUCAUUUGGGUUUUCAAGUUCUUUGAGUUCAGACUGUUGAAAAUGAACAAGAAACGCGUAAUAGUUUGAAUCCACUGACACAACAAUUUUUUCCUUGCCAUGCUAAAACGAUUGUACAUUAUCAUGCGAGUGUGUGGGAGAUGGUUUCUCAUCCUUCCAAAAGAGUGAACCUUCAGCUGUUGUUUCAUUCUCCAAGGGGCAUGGACCUUUUGAUGCAGAAGGAUCAAAUUCUUCCAUAUCAAUUUAUGCCGAUCAGUCUUCCAAUGACAACCAUGAAGUGGAAAGAGCUUACGGUCAUAAGCAUGACAACCAUGAAGUGGAUUGAUUUGUGCCAAUCAGUCUUCCAAUACUUAAUGUGAUGCAUGAAAUGUCAGAAUUGCUUGUCCAAAAUUGUCCAAAUGAUUUAGAUUCACUGGAUGAACAUAAGCAUGACACGAUCCAGCAUAUAAUCACAAAUCUUUCUAUGUGCAUCCAACAGAGGCCUGGAGGAAAGACUCCAAUCUCUGACAUAACUCUUACAGGCACUCCACACUACCCUAAUAAAUCAACAGAGCUCCAAAUGGUAGGGUUAUGUGCACGUGUCCAUAAAUUUUGCGAAUCUGGUGUGAAUAUGAUACUGAACUUUGUUUUCCUGUUUUACAUUUUGAAUCUGAUUCGUACUGAACACUGUCAAAUUUCUAGGCAGAUAUUUGUGCAAUUUACUCGUGUGCUAAAAUAUAAAUUUUGCACUCCUUGUCAUAUCAAUUUCUACAUGUACUUACAUUUGAAUUCAUACUUCUGUUGUGUUGAUUACUUGAUUUUCAUUCUGUGAGAGCAUUAACCUUCAUAUACAUACCUUUAUUUAUCAGGUUAGUUUAUUUAAUGUUAUUGCUUACCGUAAUACUAAUCGUUAUAGUUUGAUCUGUAUCCGCCCUGGAGCUGGUUGACGGUAAUAACAUCAUCACAUAAUUUUAUUAUAACUAACGUUUUCUGGUUGCUAAUGGUUAUUGUGCUCGAGACUGCAUGCAUGUGUGUAUGGUAUGUUGGUCUCAGAGUCUAAAUGAUGUAUUUCAGUGCUCAAACACGGGAUUUCAAGUAACAAGGACAAAGGCUUUGGCUGUUCCACAUGAGCUUGAUUACCAGAAUUGCUAUACACUGAGAGUGUUGGAUUCCUUUUCUUCACAUAGUGGUGUAGACACUGAGGAAAGCAAUGAGAUCAUUCAGAUGCGGAGUAUGGGCAACGCGUUGAGAGGCAAUCGUCUGACCACUGAAGAGUUAGACCCACAAGCUCUAGUGUAUAAAACGUUGUGGCUAGAUGCUGAAGCAGAAUUACGUUCCAUGAAGUACAAACUUGUGUCUAAGGCUGUGGAUUAGACAAAUAUAAGGUGGCAGGCAAGAUUAGCAAGAGAUAUACACUAGCUCUAGAUGUUUUAUUUUGAUACUACCAGGAGGGGCUGCUGGUGUUGGAAGCUAGAGACUCUUCACCUCCAUGUAUGUACAAAACUUAGUCGAGAUGCAGUAUAGAGUAGUACUACGUACUUGACUUGUUAUAGAGUGACUUACAUUUCAUGUUCACGCCGUUAAAACGUAAGGUUGAUGAUUCUAAGUAUUUGAAUGAGGGGAAACAACUUUUGCUGGUACAUAAUGGUUCAAGCAUUACCUGGAAAAUCUGUUUCUUCUGGACCAUAGGGAUGUGUUAUCCUACGGACAAUUUCGCAAGGAAAGAGGCAACAUCCGUGUAAUUAGGACAUGACAGGGAUUUUUUGAAAUCAAUCACUUGAACAGGGGAGAGUGACCUCAAAGAGGCACUAAAUGUACAGCCGUGCUCAUGUGACCAAGUCAUGUGAUAAGAGAGGGCAUUGGUGUAUACACCUGGUGAUAAGGUAAAACGUUCUCUCAAAAAGGGGUAUUUUGUGAUGUUUUUAUGUUUGCUAUCGAAGAGAUUUAAUGUGGGUCAUGUAACCUAUGAAUCUUAAUACAGAUUGUUUUGUUCUAUAAAUAUUUGAUUUUAUCAGUCUU